rnacentral:lncRNA from 1 species
UAUGGAGCUUGAUUGAGGCGUGGUUUGAAUUUCGCGGACGAAAUUAUUUUAAGGGGCGGAGAAUGUAACAUACUAGAUUUUGGUAUAAAGAUAAAAAUAAAUAAAAAUAGUGUGAGAAACUAUUUUUAUUAGAUUUGUAGAAGUAAAACAUAAGUCAAAAGUGACUUGUGCUGAAAUCAGAAUGAAAACAGAAAAUUUAGAAUUUUCUGUUGGAAACGGGACAGAUAAAUUAGCAGAAAAUGCACAGUCUCAGAAAAUUAUGAAAAUUGGAGAAUAAGUCAGAAUAUUUUUAUGAGGCUAGAUUUAAAGUUUCAUAUUUUUCUGACACCCGUAGAGUGAGAAAUAAAAUCCGACAGCUAUCAGAUAAAGAUUACAGUUCGGUACAAUUUUCGGUGACCAAAUCGGGUCGAAACUGAAAACUUAAAAUAUAUUCUUACU